GUAGAAGAAUGAGCGAGAAAAAACAUGGUCCGACUGUGUUGAUGAUCCUAGCCAUGGCUCUCUCUACCAAUCUGAGCAGAUCCGACGAUGAUGUUAGCCCCGUCGAUGGUCGAUCGCUUGUGGUGGAUUUCUUCUUCUUCGAUCCACCAGAAUAUGUUCAUCAGAUCCGACGAUGAUGGGUUUCUUCUUCUACUACUUUUCGUUCCCAGAAAUUGGAGGAGAUCCGAAGGAGAAAAAGAUGAGUGCUCCGGUGAAAGAGGAGAGUUAUUUUUGUGUGGAACUGAGUGUAUUUUAACCGAGUUGUAUCGGCUAAGAUGAC